rnacentral:tRNA from 1 species
AGUAAAGUCAGCUAAUAAAGCUAUCGGGCCCAUACCCCGAAAAUGUUGGUUCAAUACCUUCCUAUACUA